AAGUACGCGUCUGCCUGACACGCAUUCCACUUAGAGCGUAGCAGCCACCACCAUCUUACGCAAGGCGAGUGCUCUGUGCCACUAUUUAUUAUCUCCGCCCCUCGCCUUCCCUCCUAGGGCCCCUAGCUGGGCCGCGCGGCGGCUGCCGGGAGUUGUAGUCUUCUUUCUUUCAGCAGUAAGGCUGGCUACAAUUGGCUCUUGGAGACGCAGUCCGCUACAGCGGUUCUCUCCCGUCGCCAGGUGGCCGCCAUCUUGAUUUCGUCGUUUCUGUGGAGCUAGCGGUGGGUUUCGCCUUCGUAACUCGAUGAGAUUGAGAGAAAUAGUAUUGCUGUCCACUAUGUCAAGCCAUCAGGAUUUGGGAAGUGUGUGGCAAACCUUUCUGGCCGGAGGAACUAUGACUUAAGACACGACCAUAGUUACUAGCUGGGCAGAGCUGCAGAUGUCACACCUCCUUGUGGUCCUGCUGGAAUGCCUUCAUGGUAAUUGAGUUGACCUCUGCCCAGAGACAGUGUUAUAGGUUGCUUCCUCCCUAUCAUCUGGAUGCAUCAACAAUAUCCUGGAUGUGGUGGAAUCCCUGAGAUGCAGUAUCCCUCUUGACAAGGCCUCAGGAUGCAAGGAGAGAAGUGCUAUGACUUCUAUAGCAAGCCUAUCAAGGACUCAUAUACCAUCAGUGACUGUCCACCAGGGACAAUUAAUGGCCUGCCCCUCAAUAUGACUGAUCCUGCUAACUGAAAAAUACCUGUGAUUUUGCAUUGAUCCAUGGGUAGGAAUAUCAAAAACAGACUUACUGGGAAAACUGGAAGAUUGGCUACAUCAGAUUGAAAAGGCUUUUUUAAAACCAUUUCAGAAGGCAGACAUCUUGAAAGUGUGAAAAAUGCCAAUCACUUGUUUUAAAAUUUUAAAAGUUUAAUAGUAAUAAAAUAGUUAUAAAAAUAGUAUUAAAAGUUAGAGCAAUAAGAAUUUGGGCAAUCAGAGUUAGGACAAUAAAGGACAAUAAAAAGCAAAGAAUUACAGACAUCCGGGUGCUUUGCUAUGCCCCAAAGCAUGCCUCGCUAACAAAGGAUUAACCCUUAAAAGCAAUAGCCUAUUGCAUAUUCAUAUAUUUCAUACAUGAUUCAAAAAUUCUUUUCAAACAAAGGAUUUCUUCUGCUUGGUUUCAACUCCCCCCCUCCAUCUUGUAAAUCAAUCGUGUUGGUCCCUCGAAGUCUGGAUCUUCCCAAUAAGGAGGCAAUAAUUCUUCUCUUGCAAUCUUAGUGCCUUGUUGCUGUUAUCUGUAUGUGAAGAAUUUCUUAAUUAUCUUAUCUAUUCCUUGAGCUAGUUGCAAAAAGUAGUUUCUAUUUUAAUAUUAUGCUAUAGCCUAAAACUAUAUUUACCACAUUACUUAAAAGAGAUUAAUACAGCAUAACUUAUUUGCAAAGAGCCAAUCAUAUAAUAUGCAUUUUUCACAAAAGGAUAUACUAUCCCCAGAUUGAUCUAUUUGGCAGACCAGGCUGGUGUGAAAGCCAUGGACCUUGAGUCUUGAUUUGGCAAUUAGAUCUGCCAUCAAGAACUGGUUGCAUUUACCUUCAAGUAUAUCUGAUGCCAUCCUUUAUUCCAGCACAAGAGGUGGUGGCCUAGGUAUUACCAGACUGUCAGGACUAAUCACUGGUAUACAAGCCUGAAGACUCUACAGGAUCACACAGUCUUCAGAUGAAACAAUGAAAGUAAUUAUAAGGGAAGAGGAAAUUUAGAGAGAAUUUUAAAAACUAUGGAUAACAGCAGGUGGAGACAAAGUUCCAUCACUUUGGGACCCAAAAACAGUUAUGGUAAUGAUAGGGAAGAUGUGUGCUAAUGUCUUUAAAAAAAUUCGAUGGGUGAGGGUAUGGGUGUUAACAUCUUUGAAAUAGGUCUUAAUGUCUCUACUAACUUCAAGCAGCAGGUUUGUUACAGAGCCCAGACAGCUUGACUCCUGAAACAGACAAGUGGGUUGUGCACAAGCCUGAACUUCUGAAGUUUGGAGUAAAAUGACAGGUUCAAGGGGGGAUAUGUGGUAGGCAGUUCAGGUAGGCUUCCUAGUACCUCAGCCAACGGGGAAAGGAAGAGGGCAACAUGCUGCCAGGAGUUUAGGAUAAUGGAGGCUGUGUCCUCCAAAACCUUGAGAGAGAAAACCCUGCAGAUGUGUGCCCUAGUAGACUCUCUCCCUUUAUUUGAAUAAAGUUGCAGGGCUUCUCUGUCUUCUUUAUGGAUACUGGUUUUUCAUAGUGUGAUUUUCCACACAAGAUGGGAGUUCGUCUGGGAUCCUCCCACCAUCUAGGGCUAGCACACGGCAAGAGGAACUGGAGGCAUGCCUCACCCAGUUUCAGUGACCAGCUCCCUUCAACACUGGCCAACACUGGGCAAUUGAUUGGGUACCUGAGACAGUCCAGGAGACAGAUGAGAGGCAGACAUGGGGGGUUCAUGAAGAGUCCACAGGAAAGGACCACUGGAAAUCUCACCAGGGAGUAAAACAUGGCAGGAUGCCUGGGGGGGGCAGUAAAGGAAAGUUGAGAAAGGGUCUUAACUAUAGGGAUGAUGAUGCCAAAAUACCUUCGAAGGGUCCUUUGGGAGAAUGUUGAGAUGGUUUGCACAUUCUCCCAGAGGCAGUUAAGGACAUGGACGCCCAGAGGGGGCAAUAAGGGCAGUUGAGAAGGAAUCUUGGAAAAGGAUUGGCUGAAGGGGAGUGUGGAGGAAUAUGGUUAAGGCAAAUAGCAAUGGGAGACUGUAUGAUAAGGAAAGAGAAACAGUGAGAACUGGUAUGUUUUCUGCCUUAUCUUCAAAGUCUCCAGUCUAAUACAGGGCCGACUGCAAAUCUUAUGUACUCCCAGCUUCUAGGAUAGGGAAAACAGGGAGGUAUUGCUCCUACACCCCCACCCCUCCCCAGGUCAUUAUGAAGCCAUGGUGGAGGAUUUGGGUUUGUCCACUUACUACUCAGGGCUUGAGGGGAUUUCUCUAUGGUGAGGAGUGCCGAGGCCAGGUGUGAGAGAGCAGGACUGGUGGCAUGGGCUGGGGACCUGUGGGGAGGUGCGGGACCAAGCCGGGGCUGUGGGGCAGCCAUGGGCUCAGUGCCAGGUGGUGCCCAAUGCCGCCACCCCCGCGGGGCAGGGGCUGCAGUGGCCCCCAGCCCCCAUGAGGUUCCUGGACGUCUCAUCCAUUUGCCUGUCCCUGUGACGCUGCUGGCUGUACCCUCCCGCUGAGCUGCGCCAGCAUCUGGUGCUUUACAGAGCUUGUGGUGCUGGGAGAGUGGCCCGAGGGCCUGGGAGGCGGGGGGGGGGGGUCUGUCUGGACACUCUGGCAGGACGGGGACCAGCUUUGAUGUAUGGUGUAAGAUACAGGGACCGGCUUUGAUUUAAGAUACAAUGUGUCACCAAAGCCUGGCCCUAUAUAAGAAGGGAUUUUGUUUGGAUCACCAGGGAGGCGAAUGAUUUUGCAGAGUUUGCAGUUGUGGAAGGGUGAGAGCUCAUAUGCAGUGGGAGCAGGGACUGGAGAGGUGGCAGUGAGGCCUUCCAGGAGUUGGUUAGAAAGGCACAUCAGGUAUAUGAAAGAAAAGAUGAGGAUAAGGUAAAGGUACAGACAAGGAUAAUAGCAGUUUUUACAACCUCCAACGGAAAAAAGUACAGAGAACCCCAGGACAAAAGGGAAGGGGGCAGCCACCAGGACAGCGAUUGGAAAGGAAUCAAUGUGCCAUUUGUAAAAAAGCAAAAAGAGAACAUUAGAAAUGGAUUGUUAAGGGUGUCAGGAUCUCCUAAUGUACCAGGGGCUCACCACACCGGAGCCCUUAUGAAAGGGGAUUAUUUUGAUAAUUUAGGGAGUAAGUGGGAAAGAUGAGCCAGUGUGCUUUAUUCAACCACUAUUGAUGAAUGUGUGAGAUGGGUUUGAAAGGUAUGAGUUUCUGUUCCUAGUUGUGAUUUGCUAGGAGGGGAUUUGAUGACUGAGUUGGGAAUGCAAGUUAGUGUGAAAAACAGAGUUCACUCCUUAGAAUUUUUAAAAGUUUAAUAAUAGUGUUAAAAAUGGGACCACACUUCCGGUACUAAAAGUGAUUUCAGCAUUUAUUAUAAUAAAAUGAAGGCUUAAAGCAAGGGGGCUCGCAGGCCGAGCAGGAGCGUUCCCGUCAAGGAUGCUGCAGCGCCAGCGCUGGGUCUUCUGGAGCAGCGAUGUCCCCAGUGUUCCAGGUGGAGCGGCACAAAUUCACUGGGUCAGAUGCCCUUUUUAUCCUGUUUUUUUGUCCCUCUGGAUUGGUUUUUGUUUGGAUCCUUUCAUUUGCAUGAAGGUUUAAGGCGCUUGAUUGGCCCAUUAGAGUUCUGUCCAGGCUGGCUCGUUUCGCUGGGGGGUGGUGCACUUUACUUAGGUGUAAUAUGGUAUGUUAAGUACUGUAUUUCUUAUAACUACCUUUUUAACCCCUUUACAAUAUAAUAACCAAAUUAACAGUACAUGCUUAACAAUUAUCAACUAUUUUACAACAGUUUCUAACCUAUUUUUAACAAUAGGAUAAAAGAAGGAAAAUAUUUCCAGCGCUGGGGUGCUCCUGGCCAACAGCCAAAGAACUCACUGAGGUACAUGCAUAUUCAUGUGUUUCAUGCAUUAUUCAAACAUUCUUGAUAACUUUCUGAUGUUUUGAGAACUCAUUUGUUUGGCUUCUUCACACUUCGGCUUAUCUGCAUAACAUCCUAUGUGUGAAGUCAAUAUAUUUUAUUUCUUCUAGUGUCUCCAUCCUGCUGUUUCACAUCCUCUGAUAAUGAUUUAGUAUGUCCUCCUUAAAUUUAACAUGGUAUUCUCUAAUUGUCCUCUGGUGCUCUGGUUUGUGUCAUGGUUAUCCUAUCACUUGGAGGAUUCAGUGAACAGAAAGCAGAACAACAUGAUCACUUUACACCAUUUGUUUGGUUACAUAGAGGUAUUUUAACACCUAGUGUUCACCUAAGGCCUAUAAUAUAGUAUAUUCACCCUACUACUAUUUCUAUAAACUAUGCAAUACAUACUUGUUCUGGUUUGAAAGCAAAACCAGUGAGAGACUCCAAGUCAGAAAUGCAAUUUAUUAGGAAAAAGGAAAAUAAACAAAAUACAUGCAAUAAUACAAAAGGAAGACCACUGACAGAGUCAGACUACAACCUGAUACCCUUUUGGCCAGCGUGUUGGUAGCAGUCCAUAUUGGAAUGGCUGCAGUCCUCCUGGAGUGGCAGAUAUGGUUCUGUCAGAGCAGUGAUGCUGUAGAAGGGUGUAGUCUUCCUCUGAAGGUCCAGUGGAAAACCCCAGCUACUCCUCUUGGGAACCAGUGGAAAGACUGCCUCUGAUGUCCCCAAAACCCAGAUUAUAUCCAGUUAGGAAUGCUUGGCUCCUCCCUCUGGGCAGGCCAUCUCACAAUGGGAUGUUAUAGUUCUUAUCAGUCACGCAGUGACAUUCAAUAGCCCACAAUCAGCAGAUGUCUCCCCUGAGAGAGGAUUGGUUGUGAAAGAGAGAAGGAAAACUGCCCACUUAACAGAAGGCAACUGCCAUACAGAUGGGAAAUACAUCUUGCUUCUCAAUCUGGGACAAUACUUAAACUUAUAGCUUUUGUUAUACUGACAAACAGCUAAAUAAAUGUAUACAUGAUAUUAUAUCUGAAUACUUAUGAUCAAUGCAAAAACUAAUAUGUAUAAAUGUGAAAGCAAAUAUCAUAUUGCAGUCCUCUUUUUUUAACACUCCUUUCAAAUAUGAAUGGGCUUCAACUGUAACUGAAUUUACCUCCCAGCUAUUGCUGCUUGUUUCAGUGCUGACUACAGUAAAGAUGAGCAUUGAUUUCUCCCACAUCUCUAGUCCCCUUGAGGUAUUAAAACUCUGCAAGCUAGUCACCU